rnacentral:siRNA from 1 species
UUAAUCAAAUUGGUGUCAUAUUAA